GUCGAAAACUGCACAGUUAAGCCACAYGUUAACUUGUUUUUAACCAUUCCAUGUUGUUUGUAGGAAGGUUGCCUUGGCUGCCUCCUACGAUUACAUGAACAAUUUUCGGCGCGGAAUGCGUCAAGGAAAACGGACAUUAACGUAAGGCUAGCCCUCUUGCUGCUCUUUGGUUGUAUGGAGGGUGUUGCAUCGUUGAAAUAUUUGGUU
rnacentral:misc_RNA from 1 species